rnacentral:rRNA from 1 species
UACGUAGGGUGCAAGCGUUGUCCGGAAUUAUUGGGCGUAAAGAGCUCGUAGGCGGUCUGUCGCGUCGGCUGUGAAAACCCGGGGCUCAACCCCGGGCCUGCAGUCGAUACGGGCAGACUAGAGUGCGGUAGGGGAGACUGGAAUUCCUGGUGUAGCGGUGAAAUGCGCAGAUAUCAGGAAGAACACCCGUGGCGAGGGCGGCUCUCUGGAACGCAACUGACGCUGAGACGCGAAAGCGUGGGGAGCAAACAGG